rfam:Xenopus tropicalis strain Nigerian Chr06_contig_3189, whole genome shotgun sequence.
GGCUCUGUGGCGCAAUGGAUAGCACAUUGGACUUCUAGAUAAAUAAAGGUAUUCAAAGGUUGUGGGUUCGAGUCCCACCAGAGUCG